GAAAGGCCCUUCGGGGUACUCGAGCGGCGAACGGGUGAGUAACACGUGAGCAACCUGCCCCUGACUCUGGGAUAAGCCCGGGAAACUGGGUCUAAUACCGGAUACGACCGCCCCCGGCAUCGGGUGGUGGUGGAAAGUCUUUUCGGUUGGGGAUGGGCUCGCGGCCUAUCAGCUUGUUGGUGGGGUAGUGGCCUACCAAGGCGACGACGGGUAGCCGGCCUGAGAGGGCGACCGGCCACACUGGGACUGAGACACGGCCCAGACUCCUACGGGAGGCAGCAGUGGGGAAUAUUGCGCAAUGGGCGGAAGCCUGACGCAGCGACGCCGCGUGGGGGAUGACGGCCUUCGGGUUGUAAACCUCUUUCAGCAGGGACGAAGUUGACGUGUACCUGCAGAAGAAGCGCCGGCUAACUACGUGCCAGCAGCCGCGGUAAUACGUAGGGCGCAAGCGUUGUCCGGAAUUAUUGGGCGUAAAGAGCUCGUAGGUGGCUGGUCGCGUCUGCCGUGAAAGCCCGCAGCUUAACUGCGGGUCUGCGGUGGAUACGGGCCGGCUAGAGGUAGGUAGGGGCAAGUGGAAUUCCUGGUGUAGCGGUGAAAUGCGCAGAUAUCAGGAGGAACACCGGUGGCGAAGGCGGCUUGCUGGGC
rnacentral:rRNA from 1 species